GGAGAGGUGGCCGAGCGGCUGAAGGCGACGGUUUUGAAAACCGUUGGCGUCGAAAGGCGCCCGGGGGUUCGAAUCCCUCCCUCUCCG
rnacentral:tRNA from 1 species